rnacentral:rRNA from 1 species
CGCGUACGGUGGAGUAACGCGUAUCCAACCUGCCCUUUACUAUGGGACAGCCCGUCGAAAGGCGGAUUAAUACCGUAUGUUGUCAUGUUGAUGCAUAUUUUCAUGACCAAAGGCUUCGGCCGGUAAAGGAUGGGGAUGCGUCUGAUUAGCUUGCCGGCGGGGUAACGGCCCACCGGGGCGACGAUCAGUAGGGGUUCUGAGAGGAAGGUCCCCCACAUUGGAACUGAGACACGGUCCAAACUCCUACGGAAGGCAGCAG